rnacentral:sRNA from 2 species
ACCACUGCCAAUCUAUCUACCACUGCUAAUCUAUGCCGCUGCCAAUCUAUCUACCACUGCUAAUCUAUACCGCUGCCAAUCUACCUAUCACUGCUAAUCUAUGCCGCUGCCAAUCUACCUAUCGCUGCUAAUCUAUCGCUGCUAAUCUAUCGCUGCUAAUUUAUCGCUGCUAAUCUAUUGCUGCUAAUCUAUCGCUGCUAAUCUAUUGCUGCUAAUCUAUCGCUGCUAAUCUAUCGCUGCUAAUCUAUUGCUGCUAAUCUAUCUAUCACUGCUAAUCUAUCGCUGCCAACCUACCUACCGCUGCCAAUCUAUCUACCGCUGCCAACCUACCUACUGCUGCCAACCUAUCUACCACUGCUAAUCUAUUGCUGCUAAUCUAUCGCUGCUAAUCUAUCGCUGCUAAUCUAUCUAUCACUGCUAAUCUAUCGCUGCCAAUCUACCUACCGCUGCCAAUCUAUCUACCACUGCCAACCUACCUACCGCUGCCAACCUACCUACCACUGCUAAUCUAUCACUGCCAAUCUAUAUAGGGUAAAUCAUGGUCCCAUUUGGUCCCAUUUUGUAAAAUGGGAUCAAAUGGGACUGAAAUCACUAAUUUAUUAGUAAAACAUGAUCUGAGACUAGAUUUAUAAUAUAAACAGUAUAAAGUGACUAAUUUACUAAACACUAUAUGAGAUCAGAACUAAGAUAUCUAAUAAUAAAACUGAGAAAAAAUUUGAUCUCAGUUUCAUGCAUGAUCACACAGUC